rnacentral:lncRNA from 1 species
GCUAAUCUUCAAUAACACCAUGGGGCGAGUUCCAAAACCAUUCAUUAUUGUCCUCCUAACACUCAUUGUGUGUUCCUAUUCACAAGCUCAUCGAAAUCUUCGAGAAUCACCUGGAGGUCCUGACCCAAUACAUCAUGGAAUUGAGGAUCCAAUGAAUAGUGAAGCUUAUGGAAUCUAUCGAGAAUCUUCCGGAGAUGCAGACUCAAUACAUCAGAAAAUAAAGGAUCAUAUGGGAGCGAAAGCCUUUAAAAUAUAUCGAGAAACACCUACAGGUCCAAAUCCAAUACAUGACUAGAAUGACGAAUCAGCUUAGGAUCUAAGGAAAAGACACCAAGAAGAAUCGAUCAUUUACAUUACUCCUUGCAUAUUUGUCUAUUCUUAGAUCAAAUAAAUAAAUAAAUAAACUGUUUAUGUGAUUCUCUAAAAAUCUUAUUUAGAGUAGUCAUUGAAGUGGUAUGCAUGGAAAAUAUGUGUUCUUGAUAAUAUGGGCUAUCAAUUUCGAAGCAAAAAUAUAAAUUCUAAGGAAAAUAUACAUAAAUGAUGUUAUUAUUAAAAUAAAUUAGUCGAUGAUAGUGUCGGAAGGCUCUCCAUUCAAAUAUCUGUUCAUAUCUCUCUUGCACCCGACAUAAUUGAUUCUUGAAAAUCACUUUGAAUGUUUUCCUUAUGGUGAGGUGAUUCAAUUUGAUCCAUUAUGUGUAGAUAUUUUACUGGGCUAAGAAUUAUCAAAGUUAUAAAUUUAGUAUGGAACUCGAAUUCUAUAUGUGCAAUUGAGCUAUACUAAGAAUUAAUCCUAUUCAAGUUUAUAUAUAAACCUACGCAAGACUCUAUAUAUCUUUCAAUAAUGUUUAGUCCAUGGCAAUUGAACUUGAUAAUUACUAUUUCAGUAAUGAAUUCUACAUCUUAUCGGACAAGUUUGCUUCUAAUCGAACUAGGUUCGUUUCUAAGUACACCUACUAACUUUUCAUAAAUUAUAUUCAAUAUCUUAAUCAAACAUGACCAAUCCCGGAUGAGGCAAUUGAACACUGCCAUAAUUGUGUGUCUUUUCAAAAUAAAAUAGGUUUUUUUUCUUCCGAAAUGAAUAAUAGAAAAAUCAAGCAUUGAUGUUGAUUACCAUUUGGAAACAAGGAAUUACAAAAAAUUAAAAUCAUUUAAUAAGUCUAAUCAAUACCUAUGCAAAAAAGAAAAAACAAGCCCUAACGCCACUACUUCAAAGGAGCAUGCUUUUUUCGUGUGAUAAUCAUAAUUUUUAUAUCACUUCUUUGUUCAUUUAUAAUAUACAUGAUUUAAUUGUUUUUUUGCUUUACAAUUUUAUUAGAUAUUUAAGGGUGCCAUUAAUGCAACAUUAGAGGGUUUUAAAAUUAUCCAUUAUUUUUUAAAGUUACAUAUCAUAACUGAUAUCAUUUAAUUAAUAUGGUAUUUGGAUUGUUAUAUAAGAUAUUAAUUUUAAUAUUUGAUGCAUAUGGUAUUUAAGGAUUGAAAAAUUCAUCUUUCAAAUUUCAACAUGUAUGACUUCCAUUCCCAGACAAAUGAAUUACCAAAUGGUAGAAGGAAAUGAGUUCUUUAUAUUUACAUUAGGAAAAAUUAACACAUUUCUAUUACAUUAUUUUAUCGACCAAACAUGACCUAAUUUUAACAAACAUUUAAAUGAAAUUCACCAUGAUUCAAAUUUCGAGAUAUAAAUUAGUAAAAUAUUGUAUUUUUCCUUUGACUUUCUUAUAGAUUUCAAAUUUUAUAGAAAUAAUUCAUCAUGAUUAUCAAGUAAUUAGUAUUCAAGGAGGAACAAAUGAAAAAAAAAAAAAAGAAGGACAUCUUGCUAAAGGGGACUUUCCUAAUUGUAUUUUGUUCUAGUGUGAGAGGUAAAAUAAUUGCCUAGUUUAAAACUUAUGGCAAAAAAUGGAAUUUUAUAUUUUUUUUUAUUGUAAGCAUCACAUUUUUAUUGUUAUCUUCAAUUGUUAUGUAAUUAAGCGGCGUAUCGUGAUUGCACCAACAAAAGGAAAAAAAUUCCCCGCAAAUAUCUUCCUUGAAAUUCUUUUCUUAUCAUAUCAAAUGGUAUUAAUAGAAAAGUAUCUCUUACAUUUUGAAUAAUAAAUACAAGAUUUUCUCCCAAAUUAUCUCUCAUAUGUGGGAACAUUAAACCAUAUAGAAGCCCAAAUCCAGAUGGAUUACUUACGAUUCUUUGGGAUUUAAAAUUUAAGUACAAGAAAAUAGUAGAAGAACAAAGAUAUCCUCUACUUGAAUUCUUAGAUCUAAUUCUUAAUGUUUCGCAUCUAAUUCUCAAAUCUAAAAAUCUAAACUUAUAUUCUCAAUAAAAAUCCCUUUAGUAUCAUUUAAAUUUGGCUUAUAAAUAGAGAAACUUGUUACCAUUCCACUCAAAUCAAAAUUUAGCUAAUCUUCAAUAACACCAUGGGGCGAGUUUCAAAACCAUUCAUUAUUGUCCUCCUAACACUCAUUGUGUGUUCCUAUUCACAAGCUCAUCGAAAUCUUCGAGAAUCACCUGGAGGUCCUGACCCAAUACAUCAUGGAAUUGAGGAUCCAAUGAAUAGUGAAGCUUAUGGAAUCUAUCGAGAAUCUUCCGGAGAUGCAGACUCAAUACAUCAGAAAAUAAAGGAUCAUAUGGGAGCGAACGCCUUUAAAAUAUAUCGAGAAACACCUACAGGUCCAAAUCCAAUACAUGACUAGAAUGACGAAUCAGCUUAGGAUCUAAGGAAAAGACACUAAGAAGAACCGAUCAUUUACAUUACUCCUUGAAUAUUUGUCUAUUCUUAGAUCAAAUAAAUAAAUAAAUAAACUAUUUAUGUGAUUCUCUAAAAAUCUUAUUUAGAGUAGUCAUUGAAGUGGUAUGCAUGGAAAAUAUGCGUUCUUGAUAAUAUGGGCUAUCAAUUUCGAAGUAAAAAUAUAAAUUCUAAGGAAAAUAUACAUAAAUGAUGUUAUUAUUAAAAUAAAUUAGUCGAUGACAGUGUCGGAAGGCUCUCCAUUCAAAUAUCUGUUCAUAUCUCUCUUGCACCCGACAUAAUUAAUUCUUGAAAAUCACUUUGAAUGUUUUCCUUAUGGUGAGGUGAUUCAAUUUGAUCCAUUAUGUGUAGAUAUUUUACUGGGUUAAGAAUUAUCAAAGUUAUAAAUUUAGUAUGGAACUCGAAUUCUAUAUGUGCAAUUGAGCUAUACUAAGAAUUAAUCCUAUUAGAGUUUAUAUAUAAACCUACGCAAGACUCUAUAUAUAUUUCAAUAAUGUUUAGUCUAUUGCAAUUGAACUUGAUAAUUACUAUUUCAGUAAUAAAUUCUACAUCUUAUUGGACAAGUUUGCCUCUAAUCGAACUAAGUUCAUUUCUAAGUACAUCUACUAAAUUUUCAUGAAUUAUAUUCAAUAUCUUAAUCAAACAUGACCAAUCCCGGGUGAGGCAAUUGAACACUAUGUCAUAAUUGUGUGUCUUUUCAAAAUAAAAUAGGUUUUUUUUUCUUCGGAAAUGAAUAAUAGAAAAAUCAAACAUUGAUGUUGAUUACCAUUUGGAAACACGGAAUUACAAAAAAUUAAAAUCAUUUAAUAAGUCUAAUAAAUACCCGUGCAAAAAAGAAAAAACAAGCCCUAACGCCAGUAUUUCAAAGGAGCAUGCUUUUUUCGUGUGACAGUCAUAAUUUCUAUAUCACUUCUUUGUUCAUUUAUAAUAUAAAUGAUUUAAUUGUUUUUUUGCUUUACAAUUUUAUUAGAUAUUUAAGGGUGUUAUUAAUGCAACAUUAGAGGGUUUUAAAAUUAUCCAUUAUUUUUUAAAGUUACAUAUCAUAGCUGAUAUCAUUUAAUUAAUAUGGUAUUUGGAUUGUUAUAUAAGAUAUUAAUUUUAAUAUUUGAUGCAUAUGGUAUUUAAGGAUUGAAAAUUUCAUCUUUCAAAUUUCAACAUGUAUGACCUCCAUUCCCAGACAAAUGAAUUACCAAAUGGUAGAAGGAAAUGAGUUCUUUAUAUUUACAUUAGGAAAAAUUAACACAUUUCUAUUACCUUAUUUUAUCAACCAAACAUGACCUAAUUUUAACAAACAUUUAAAUGAAAUUCACCAUGAUUCAAAUUUCGAGAUAUAAAUUAAUAAAAUAUUGUAUUUUUCCUUUGACUUUCUUAUAGAUAUCGAAAUUUAUAGAAAUAAUUCAUCAUGAUUAUCAAGUAAUUAGUAUUCAAGGAGGAACAAAUGAAGAAAAAAAAAAAAGGACAUCUUGCUAAAGGGGACUUUCCUAAUUGUAUUUUGUUCUAGUGUGAGAGGUAAAAUAAUUGCCUAGUUUAAAACUUAUGGUAAAAAAUGGAAUUUUAUAUUUUUUUUAUUGUAAGCAUCACAUUUUUAUUGUUAUCUUCAAUUGUUAUGUAAUUAAGCUGCAUAUCAUGAUUGCAACAAGAAAAGGAAAAACAAUCCCCGUAACUAUCUCCCCUAAAAUUCUUUUCUUAUCAUAUCAUAUGGUAUUAAUAGAAAAGUAUCUCUUACAUUUUGGAUAAUAAAUAAAAGAUUUUCUCCCAAAUUAUCUCUCAUAUGUGGGAACAUUACACUAUAUAGAAGCCCAAAUCCAGAUGGAUUACUUACGAUUCUUUGGGAUUUAAAAUUUAAGUACAAGAAAAUAGUAGAAGAACAAAGAUAUCCUCUACUUGAAUUCUUAGAUCUGAUUCUUAAUAUUUCACAUCUAAUUCUCAAAUCUAAAAAUCUAAACUUAUAUUCUCAAUAAUAAUCCCUUAGUGUCAUUUAAAUUUUACUUAUAAAUAGAGAAACUUUUUACCAUUCCACUCAAAUCCUAAUUUAGCUACUCUUCAAUAAUACCACGGGGCAAGUUCUGAAACCAUUCAUUAUUGUCCUCCUAGCACUCAUUGUGUGUUCCUAUUCACAAGCUCAUCGAAAUCUUCGAGAAUCUCCUGGAGGUCCUGACCCAAUACAUCAUGGAAUUGAGGAUCCAAUGAAUAAUGAAGCUUAUGGAAUCUAUCGAGAAUCUUCCGGAGAUGUAGACUCAAUACAUCAGAAAAUAAAGGAUCAUAUGGGAGCGAACGACUUUAAAAUAUAUCGAGAAACACCUACAGGUCCAAAUCCAAUACAUGACUAGAAUGAUGAAUCAGUUUAGGGUCUAAGGAAAAGACAUCAAGAAGAACCGAUCAUUUACAUUACUUCUUGCAUAUUUGUCUAAUCUUAGAUCAAAUAAAUAAAUAAAUAAAUAAAUAAAUAAAUAAAUAAACUAUUUAUGUGAUUCUCUAGAAAUCUUAUUUAGAGUAGUCAUUGAAGUGGUAUGCAUGGCAAAUAUGCGUUCUUGAUUAUAUGGGCCAUCAAUUUCGAAGUAAAAAUAUAAAUUCUAAGGAAAAUAUACAUAAAUGAUGUUAUUAUUAAAAUAAAUUAGUUGAUGAUAGUGUCAGAAGGCUCUCCAUUCAAAGAUCUGUUCAUAUCUCUCUUGCAUAUGACAUAAUUGAUUCUUGAAAAUCACUUUGAAUGUUUUCCUUGUGGUGAGGUGAUUCAAUUUGAUCCAUUAUGUGUAGAUAUUUAACUGGGUUAAGAAUCAUCAAAGUUGUAAAUUUAGUAUGGAACUCGAAUUCUAUAUGUGCAAUUAAGCUAUACUAAGAAUUAAUCCUAUUCAAGUUUAUAUAUAAACCUACGCAAGACUCUAUAUAUAUUUAAAUAAUGUUUAGUCCAUUGCAAGAUCUAUUUUCUUUCUUUUCAUCUAGGUCUUGAUAAUUACUAUUUCAGUAAUGAAUUCUACAUCUUAUCGAACAAGUUUGCUUCAAAUCAAACUAGGUUCAUUUCUAAGUACAUCUACUAAAUUUUCAUAAAUUAUAUUCAAUAUGUGAAUCAAACAUGACCAAUCCCAGAUUAGGCAAUUGAACACUAUGCCAUAAUUGUGUCUUUUCAAAAUAAAAUAAUUUUUUUUCUUCAUAAAUGAAUAAUAGAAAAAUCAAACAUUGAUGUUGAUUACCAUUUGGAAACACAGAAUUACAAAAAAUUAAAAUCAUUUCAUAAGUCUAAUCAAUACUUGUGCAAAAAAGAAAAGGCAAGCCCUAACGCCACUACUUCAAAGGAGCAUGCUUUUUUCGUGUGAUAAUCAUAAUUUCUAUAUCACUUCUUUGUUCAUUUAUAAUAUAAAUGAUUUAAUUUUUUUUUUGCUUUACAAUUUUAUUAGAUAUUUAAGGGUGCCAUUAAUGCAACAUUAGAGGGUUUUAAAAUUAUCCAUUAUUUUUUAAAAUUACAUAUAAUAAUUGAUAUCAUUUAAUUAAUAUGGUAUUUGGAUUUUAAUAUAAGAUAUUAAUUUUUAUAUUUGAUGCAUAUGGUAUUGAAGGAUUGAAAAAUUCAUCUUUCAAAUUUCAACAUGUAUGGCUUCCAUUCCCAGACAAAUGAAUUACCAAAUGGUAGAAAGAAAUGAGUCCUUUAGAUUUACAUUAGGAAAAAUUAACACAUUUCUAUUACCUUAUUUUAUCGACCUAACAUUACCUAAUUUUAACAAACAUUUAAAUAAAAUUCACCAUGAUUCAAAUUUCGAGAUAUAAAUUAGUAAAAUAUUGUAUUUUUACUUUGACUUUCUUAUAGAUAUCGAAAUUUAUAUAAAUAUUUCAUCAUGAUUAUCAAGUAAUUAGUAUUCAAGGAGGAACAAAAAAAAAAAAAAAAAGGACGUCUUGCUAAAGGGGACUUUCUGAAUUGUAUUUUGUUCUAGUGUGAGAGGUAAAAUAAUUGCCUAGUUUAAAAAUUAUGGUAAAAAAUGGAAUUUUAUAUUUUUUUUUGUCGUAAGCAUCACAUUUUUAUUGUUAUCUUCAAUUGUUAUGUAAUUAAGCUGCAUAUCAUGAUUGAAGCAAGAAAAGGAAAAACAAUCCCCGUAAAUAUCUUCCCUAAAAUUCUUUUCUUAGCAUGUCAUAUGGUAUCAAUAGAAAAGUAUCUCUUACAUUUUGGAUAAUAAAUAAAAGAUUUUCUCCCAAAUUAUCUCUCAUAUGUGGGAACAUUACACUAUAUAGAAGCCCAAAUCCAAAUGGAUUACUUACGAUUCCUUGGGAUUUAAAAUUUAAGUACAAGAAAAUAGUAGAAGAACAAAGAUAUCCUCUACUUGAAUUCUUAGAUCUAAUUCUUAAUGUUUCGCAUAUAAUUCUCAAAUCUAAAAAUCUAAACUUAUAUUCUCAAUAAAAAUCCCUGAGUGUCAUUUAAAUUUGAUUUAUAAAUAGAGAAACUUGUUACCGUUCCACCAAUGAAUCUCAACUCCUCACAAUCAACACAGCUUCACAAGCUCCUCUCAAACUUACCUCCUCCAACCAUCUCUCAUGGAAAAUCCAAUUUGAAACACUCUUCAUUAGCUAUGAUCUUCUUAGAUACAUUGAUGGAUCCAAACCUGUCCACCCAAAACUCUAACCACAAACAAUGUUGACACACUAAAUCCUGCCUACACCCUCUGGAUCCACCAAGAUCAACUGGUUUUGAAUGCUCUCAUUGGCUCUCUCUCACCCACAAUCAUCUCAUUCAUUGCUCGUGCCAAUACCUCCCGCGAAGCAUGGACUAUUCUAGCAAAUACCUAUGCCAAACCAUCUCGUGGUCGCAUCAAACAAGUCAAAAAUCUUCUCAAAAAUCCCAGCAAAGGCACUAUGACAGUAACUGAUUUUCUCCACUUUGUCAGAGCACGCACAGAUGAACUAGCCAUCCUAGGCGCCCCAAUAGAGGAAGAAGAUCUUACAGAGAAGAUUUUGGAUGUACUAGGUGAUGAGUACAAAGAACCUGUCCGUGCUGUUCAAGCCCGUGACACUUCUAUAUCAUUUGAUGAACUUCAUGAGAAACUCUUAUCCUUUGAAGCCUCUCUCUUAGCCAACACCAAAUCUGAGGUAAAUCUUCCUAUUACUGCUAAUCCCACAAAUAAGAACAAUCCCAUGAACACCAACUGGCGGCCACACAAGACCAACACCAACUAGCUUCCCAACCACUCAAACUCUUCAGGUAACACAGGCUGGCGUCCACCUACAACCUUCCCUACCCAUCCUCUUAUGGCCACCCACUUAGGAACUCCAUCUUGCACCAACCGCUUUCCACCCCGUCCAUACCAGGGGUUAUGCCAAAUCUGUGGCAUUCAAGGUCACACUGCCAAGAGAUGUCCAUCUUUCCAACUUGUACCAGUCCAAUCUUCCAUUACAAGUGCUACACCACCAGCUAACUUUGUCACACCUUGGCAGCCACGGGCUCACUAUGCUGCAAAUACCACCACUAAUAAUCCAUCAUGGCUGCUGGACAGUGGCGCCUCUCAUCAUGUCACUACCGACUUAAACAACCUGUUUCUUCAUGCACCAUACACUGGAUAAGAUGAUGUUAUGAUUGGUGAUGGUAUAGGUUUACUCAUCUCUCACACUGGUUCUACUUCUCUUCCAUCAUCAACCACCACCUUUACCUUGAAUGAUGUUUUCUAUGUACCAUCCAUGAAAAAGAACUUAAUUUCUAUCUCUCAAUUUUUCAUCUCUAAUAAUGUUUCUAUUGAAUUUUUACCCUUUUGUUUUCAUGUGAAAGAUCUUUGUACGGGGGCAAUACUCUUGACGGGCAACACUAAGGAUGGAGUGUAUGAGUAGCCAGCUGCACAACUUGCCUCUUCUCCAAUUCUGGCCUUCUCUCAUGUCAAAACCACAUCAUCAAAUUGGCAUCAUUGCUUAGGUCAUCCAGCUUUUCCCAUUUUAAAACACAUUAUGUCUAGUUAUCAGUUAGAUUUUUCUACACCUUUACCAAAAGAAUUCUCUUGUAAUGCUUGUCUUAGCAAUAAAAGUCGUAAGCUUCCUUUCUCUAUUUCAUCUCUUCACUCAACAAAUCCUCUUGAAAUAAUUUUUUCUGAUGUAUGGACUUCUCCCAUUUUAUCACAAGAUGGUUUCAAAUAUUAUGUUAUUUUUGUUGAUCACUUCACAAAAUACAUUUGGUUCUACCCCCUCAAAAAAAAAUCUGAAGUUCAGAAAGUUUUCAAACGGUACAAGGCCAUUGUGGAAAAUUAUUUUUCUAAAAAAAUUAUCACUCUCUACUCUAAUAAUGGAGGCGAAUAUAUGGUCCUCAAAGAUUAUCUCUCCCUCCACUGCAUUUCCCACUUCACCACUCCACCACAUACCCUUGAACACAAUGGCUACUUGAUUACUACUCAAAACAUGCUAUUUUGUAGCUUGUAAUUAUCUCUUUUAAACACCAUUGAGUAGUAAUUAUUACCUUUUAACCCAAUUAGCAUGUUAGGAGCCCUUGCAAUCGUUUCUAACAAUUGUGUUAAGUUUUGGUGCUUUUUGAUAGCUUUAUGCUCACCAAAGCAAUUUAAGAAUGAGGGAGAGCUAUUUAUAGUUCAGGGCAAAGCUUUUGAAAGCUUAAAUUUAUGAAGAAAUCAAGCUAUGGAGCCUCAUAAUCCUUUGCCUUAGUGGUUCAAAGUAUACAAGGAAGAAACAAUGGAGAAGAAGAAAACAGGGGAUGAAAACAGGGGACACAGCUGCAGUCUUUCAUUGCACUUUUGGAGCACUUCCCGAAGUCCAAUUUUUACGUUCUACAUACCAUUUCGAAGCUCAGAAAGUCAAGAAUCCAAUGGUUUAAACCACGUAUGAUUUGGAGCUGAAAUGAGGAAGAUAUGGACUUCGGAAGACAACUGCAUCAAGCUGAAGGACAAUUUCGCACACCACUGUUUAAGGUGCGAAAUCCUCAGUCCACUGUGCGAAAUUUUCGUACACCUCAAACCAACAUGCAAAAUUGGAACUCAGCGUGCGAAAAUUGGAUAUUUUUGCCGACACUUCUUCUUCUGAUAUUUUUGUGUUUAAAUUUCCAUUUUCUCCUUGUAUUCAACCAACCAUGUAAUUCCUUAGCUAGGAAGUAUCCAAGGAAGGGUAAAACUACCUUCCUAUAUAAAUUCUCUUGUAAUCACUGAAAACAAGAUCUUUCGGGGAGCUUUCUCUAGAAUAUCUUUUCGGGGAGCUUUCUCCAGGAGACCAAUGUAAAUUAGUUACUUAGUGAAAUACAGAGAUCUCUUUUGCUUUCUUUUUCUCUCUUCUAUUUUCUCAUUUUCUUAGUAGCCAAACAUCCUUGGAGGAUGAAAUCCCCAAGGAUGAGAGGCUAAAACCUUUUAGUUUCUUGAAGUAAUGGAUGCCAUGUGAAGCUCCCGUGUCAGGAUGGAGAUUUUCAAGCCAUGAAUGUAAGUAGCUAAGCACCAUAAAUGUUUUCAUUCAAAGUAAAGCUUUUAAUCCCUCUGACUUGCUUUGAAUGGCCAAUACUUGAUAAGCUUUUGGUCUCAGUGGAUUCUUAUUGUUAGAUCCACUGACGUUCGUUAGUUAUCUCCUACGAGCCAUUGUAUUGCAAGUCGAGGAGAUGACCUAUAUCAUUAAAAGGGCAUUUAUGAGGUUCAGCUACCCUUUUUGUAAGUUUUCAAGGACUAAAACUCAGUUGUUAAACUCAUACCGGUUCGGGAAGUAAGCAUCACCUUAGUUGCUUCCCCAACGCGAGGUGAAAAGUCCCAAAAUCUCUAUUUUUACAUGGUGAGUUAAGCAUGGCUAUCCAAAGCUUUGAGAAACUUCUUUUUCCAUCUUUUAUCCUAUUUUCAUCUUAGUUUAGUUUACAACACCUUCAUCUUUUUAUGUUUUCAUCUUAACCUAAUUUUUAUUAAGAAAAGUUCACUCCAUCCUCUGAACUUCACUAGUUAAAGUAAAAACCCUUCCCAGUGUUCGAUCCUAGAGCCACUAUACUAUAGUAGCUUUGCUACUUUAGUGUAAGGACCUUAGGUAUAAAUUUUGUUGAUACCCUUACAUGCCAAGCUACCAAGAGUCGGGUUAUCACUACUCUGAAAGAACACAUUGCCAUAUCGUUGAAACUGGUCUCAUCUUACUAUCUCAUGCUUCACUUCCAAACACCUUCUGGCCUCAUGCCUUUGCUACUGUUGUUUACCUCAUUAACAGGCUUCCAACCACCACUCUCAAUCUGUCCUCCCCCUUUGAAUUAUUUUUUCACAAAAGUCCCAAUUACUCUAGACUAAAAGUUUUCGGUUGUUUAUGUUAUACUUGGCUUCACCCAUAUACCUCUCACAAACUUACUCAACGCUCCAAACCAUGUGUGUUUCUUGGGCACUCUUUAUCUCAGAGUGCUUAUCUCUGCUUCGACCCCUCCACCUUGAAAAUUUAUGUUUCUCGCCAUGUGCAAUUUGUUGAAUCAGUCUUUCCAUACACCUCACUACACACCACUCUUCCACGUCCCAAUUCCACUACUAUAUCUACUUGGAUUCAUCCUGUCCUUUCUGUCUCUACUCCCACAUCAUCCCAGCAGGAAGCCAUCACUCCAUCUACAGCUAGCUCUCAAGGACUGCCUCUGUUCGAGACUACUUCACCAUCAGCUGCCCCGUCCUCACAGCAAGCUUCCUCUGCCCCCUAACCAUCUCCUCAACCUUCCCUUACAACCAUCGAACCACAAAUCCCAGUCCCACCUCCGACUCAACACCGCAUGACUACCCGAGCCAAGAAUAACAUCACCAAACCAAUUCAGAAACUCAACCUUCACAACCACAAACCAACGUUCCAAAACACUACUCCUACAUCUAUCUCCCAAGCUCUUAAAGAUCACAAUUGACGUUAAGCUGUGUUCGAAGAGUAUGAUGCACUUGUUCGUAAUGGAACUUGGGAACUAGUUCCACCUGAAGACAUUACUAAUCUAGUUGGUUGCAAAUGGAUUUUCCAUAUUAAAAGAAACUUUGAUGGUUCCAUUGACAGGUACAAAGCUCGCCUUGCAGCCAAGGGCUUUCAUCAAAGACCGGGUGUGGACUACCAUGAAACUUUCAGUCCAGUUGUCAAGCCUGCCACAGUGACACUUGUGCUUAGUAUAGGAGUAAGUAAUGGUUGGUCACUUCGCCAAUUGGAUGUCAAUAAUGCGUUUUUUCAAGGCAAGCUCUCUGAAAAUGUAUUUAUGGCUCAACCACCAGGUUUUGUUGACUCUAAUCAUCCCUCAUAUGUUUGUUAACUUCAUAAAGCUGUCUAUGGCCUCAAACAAGCUCCCUGAGCUUGGUAUCACGAGUUACGUCAGUUUCUACUCACUUCCAAAUUCAAGAACUCACACUCAGAUACAUCUUUCUUUGUUCUUCACAGCAGCAACCGUGUCUUGUAUCUUCUUGUAUAUGUUGAUGAUAUUAUCCUAACUGGCAGUAGUGAUACUCUUGUUUCACAGUUUCUUGACUAUCGGCUCAACGGUUUUCUCUAAAAGAUCUUGGUCCACUCUCUUACUUUCUUGGAGUUGAAGUUGAAGUUGUUCCUCAUCAUCUUGGUAUUCUGCUCUCCCAAAGAAGAUACAUUCAAGACCUACUCAAACGAACCAAUAUGGCUGAUGCAAAACCUAUUCUCACCCCCUUACCAACUAGCUCAGCAGCCAUCUCCUUAACCUCAAGCACCCCUCUCUCUGACUCCACACCAUACUGUGCAGCAGUUGGUAGCCUGCAAUAUCUUUCCUUAACCCAUCCAGACAUUUCCUUUGCAGUCAAUAGAAUGGCCCAAUUUAUGCAUCAACCUACCUCUGAGCAUUGGGUCCUUGUUAAGCGUAUUUUAUGCUAUUUAUGUGGCACACUAGACAAGGGGCUCCUUCUCUAUCGUGAUUCUCCCAUCACUCUUCAUGCCUUCUCUGAUUCUCUUUAUGCUUUUUCAGAUGCGGACUAGGUUGAUAAUAAAGACGAUUAUUCUUCCACCACUUAUCUUGUUUAUCUUGGUCGGAACCUUGUCUUUUGGAGUUCGAAGAAGCAACAAACUGUUGCUCGCUCAUCCACAGAAGUAGAAUAUCGUUCUGUUGCUACUACUGCUGUUGAACUUCAUUGGGUUGGUUCUCUUCUUUCAGACCUUGGUAUUAGCUUAACUACUUCUCCAGUUGUCUAUUGUGAUAAUGUUGGUGCUACCCAAUUAAGUUCCAAUCCUAUUUUUCACUCUCGCAUGAAACAUGUUGCUAUUGAUUAUCAUUUUAUCAGAGAUCAAGUUCAAACUGGUCUACUUCGAGUUGCUCAUGUCUCUUCUGCUGAUCAGCUUGCCGAUCUUCUUACCAAGCCACUGCCUACUUCUCAAUUUCUGCUAUUAUGGGACAAGAUUGGUGAUUACUACUCAAAAAGUGCUAUUUGAUAGCUUGUAAUUAACUCUUUUAAACACUUUUGAGUAGUAGUUAUUACCUUUUAACUCAAUUGGCAUGUUAAGGACCCUUGCAAUCAAUUCUAAUCAAAUUGUGUUAAGUUUUGGUGUUUUGAUAGCUUUUUGAUCACCAAAGCAAUAUGAGAUUGAGGAGAUUUAUUUGAAAUCCAUGGCAAAGCAAUGGAAAGCUCAGAAACAUGAAGAACCAAAGCUUUGAAGUCCUUUGCCAUAAGCAAAUCCGGAAUGCAAGGAGGGGAAGCAAAGAGAAAUCUGCCAUGAAGCAUUUUUUUAUGACAGUCAUGUCAGCCACUUUUGGAGCACUUCCUGAAGUCCAAUUUAUGCAUGCUAUAUGUUGUUUCAAAGAUCAGGAAGUCAACAAUCCAAUGCUUCAAACGGUGCACGAUUCGGAGUUGAAAUGAAGGAGUUACAGCCAUUGCAAGCAGAUCACUCCAAGCUGAAGGAAGAUUUUUGCACGGCUGUGAAAUCAGCCUUUUGUUGCGAGAAUUUCGCAGCCAUUUUGCACAGUGCACGGGUGUUCUCCUGAAGCUUCCCGAUAGUUGCGACCGACAUUGUGAGAUAUUUUUCUUUAGAUUUUUUGAUAUCUAAAUCUCCAUUUUAUUCUUGUAACCCACCAAUUAUAGGAUUCCUUAGUUAUUAAGUUUGGAAAAGGGGUGAAUAACCUCAGAUAUUUUGUUUUGUAAUUUUCUUUAUAUAUAGCUCUCGGGAGCUUGUUCUCGAGAGGAUCAUGUAAUCCAAUGGGAUAUAGAUAUAUAAAUAUAUAGAAUAUACAGAGCCUUGCUCUGUUUUUUUUCCUUCUCUUUCAUUUUCAUUUUCUUGCUAGCCAAACAUUCUCUGAGGAUUUUUUUUCAGAAGAUGAGAGGCUAGGCUUUUCGUCUCUUGGAGUGAGGAAAGCCGGGUAAGUUUCCACAUGCAUAAAUUGGAAGUUUUGUUGUUUUAGUUUUUAAUGAAGAGAAAGUGUGACCCGUUAAUGGUUUUUAUCUUUUUAGUUAACUUAAAACGCCUUUAAAUCACCUGGGCUAACACUUGGUAAGGCAAGUGAUCUCCGUCCAUGGAGAUUCACUAGUUUAUCUCUUACGAGCUUUUGGGAGGUGACUUGAAGGUAGGAUUUUCUAGAAUAGCCAACACUUGGUAAGCUUUUGGACUCCAAGGAGACAUCCAUUAGUUAUCUUUUGCGAGCUUUUGACGGGUAAUCCAAGGUUAAAGAUCACCUUGAAUGGCAAGUGCUAGGUGAGAGGUAUGAGCCAUUGCAAGGUGCAUCAGUGAGAGGGAUUUAGUGUUUGAACCCAUUAAUGGGAAGCAUUUGUAUCGCACCGGUUAGAGAAUUAACUAUAUGUUAAUUCUCUAAUGCGAGGAAAAGAAACAAGUGACCGGAACUCUCUUUUUUUGUAAGGAAUCUGAGCCUAGUGAUCUAAACUCCAAGAAACACUUUUCUUUGUAAGUAAAAUCAGUUACUAUUUUUGGUUAGUUUAAAACCAAACCUUUUUUUUCAUUCAAAUAUCUUUAUGUUUUCUUUUAAAGCUAACCUUGAAAUGAAAAGGCACCAAUUCAGCUUUGAAUUAAUAUCAUUUGCAAAGUGAAAACCCAUCCCAGUGAACGAUCCUAGAGCCACUAUGCUAUAGUAGCUUUGUCUUUGCUACCCUAGUAUAUGGUGUAAUAGGUUAUAAAUUUUGUUGAUUACUCCCUCAAUCAAGGAGCACCAGCUGGACACGAAUCAGCUGAUACACCAAUUGGGCACGAAUCAAUUGGCCUCUCUACUCGUGGCCUAUCUUGAGGGGGCAUAUAGAAGUAGUCACAAUUUCUGGUGUAUAUCAGCUUUAGUAGUUCCAACUGCAAUAGUAUAUUGAAUGUAGUCUACCAAAUAUCUUUCUGUUAGUAUUCCUUAAGAAUAGUUCAGCUUGAAUAUUGCUGAAAUAUAGGAUAUAGUUAUUGUUUUCUGUUUUGCUUCAAUGUAUUAUUUAUACGAUUUGUUUUUUUUUUAUUAAUGAAAACAGAGUUCACACAAUUAUCAACCUCUUUAAAGCUUAUGGAAUCAAUCGAGAAUCUUCGGGAGGUGCAGAACCAAUACACCAUAAAAUAAAGGGUCAUAUGGGAAUGAACUCUUUUAAAAUAUAUCGAGAAACACCUAUAGGUCCAAAUCCAAUACAUGACUAGAAUGACGAAUCAGUUUAAGGUCUAAGGAAAAGACACCAAGAAGAACCAAUCAUUUACAUUACUCCUUGCAUAUUUGUCUAUUCUUAGAUCAAAUAAAUAAAUAAAUAAACUGUUUAUGUGAUUCUCUAGAAAUCUUAUUUAGAGUAGUCAUUGAAGUGGUAUGCGUGGCAAAUAUGCGUUCUUGAUUAUAUGGGCUAUCAAUUUCGAAGUAAAAAUAUAAAUUCUAAGUAAAAUAUACAUAAAUGAUGUUAUUAUUAAAAUAAAUUAGUCGACGAUAGUGUCGGAAGGCUCUCCAUUCAAAGAUUUCUUUAUAUCUCUCUUGCAUCUGACAUAAUUGAUUCUUGAAAAUCACUUUGAAUGUUUUCCUUAUGGUGAGGUGAUUCAAUUUGAUCCAUUAUGUGUAGAUAUUUUACUGGGUUAAGAAUCAUCAAAGUUAUAAAUUUAGUAUGGAACUCGAAUUCUAUAUGUGCAAUUGAGCUAUACUAAGAAUUAAUCCUAUUCAAGUUUACAUAUAAACCUACGCAAGACUCUAUAUAUAUUUAAAUAAUGUUUAGUCCAUUGCAAGAUCUAUUUUCUUUCUUUUCAUCCAAGUCUUGAUAAUUACUAUUUCAGUAAUGAAUUCUACAUCUUAUCGGACAAGUUUGCUUCUAAUCAAACUAGGUUCAUUUCUAAGUACAUCUACUAAAUUUUCAUGAAUUAUAUUCAAUAUCUUAAUCAAACAUGACCAAUCCCAGAUGAGGCAAUUGAACACUAUGCCAUAAUUGUGUGUCUUUUCAAAAUAAAAUAGUUUUUUUUUUUCUUCAGAAAUGAAUAAUGGAAAAAAAUCAAACAUUGAUGUUGAUUACCAUUUGGAAACACGGAAUUACAAAAAUUUAAAAUCAUUUCAUAAGUCUAUUCAAUACCUGUGCAAAAAAGAAAAAGCAAACCCUAACGCUACUACUUCAAAGGAGCAUGCUUUUUUUGUGUGAUAAUCAUAAUUUCUAUAUCACUUCUUUGUUCAUUUAUAAUAUAAAUGAUUUAAUUGUUUUUUUGCUUUACAAUUUUAUUAGAUAUUUAAGGGUGCCAUUAAUGUAACAUUAGAGGGUUUUAAAAUUAUCCAUUAUUUUUUAAAGUUACAUAUAAUAAUUGAUAUCAUUUAAUUAAUAUGGUAUUUAGAUUGUAAUAUAAGAUUUUAAUUUUAGUAUUUGAUGCAUAUGGUAUUGAAGGAUUGAAAAAACCAUCUUUCAAAUUUCAACAUGUAUGACUUCCAUUCCCAAACAAAUGAAUCACAAAAAGGUAGAAGGAAAUGAGUCCUUUAGAUUUACAUUAGGAAAAAUUAACACAUUUCUAUUACCUUAUUUUAUCAACCAAACAUGACCUAAUUUUAACAAACAUUUAAAUGAAAUUCACCAUGAUUCAAAUUUCGAGAUAUCAAUUAGUAAAAUAUUGUAUUUUUCCUUUGACUUUCUUAUAGAUAUCGAAAUUUAUAGAAAUAAUUCAUCAUGAUUAUCAAGUAAUUAGUAUUCAAGGAGGAACAAAUGAAAAAAAAAAAAAAAAGGAAGAACGUCUUGCUAAAGGGGACUUUCCUAAUGGUAUUUUGUUCUAGUGUGAGAGGUAAAAUAAUUGCCUAGUUUAAAACUUAUGGUAAAAAAUGGAAUUUUAUAUUUUUUUUAUUGUAAGCAUCACAUUUUUAUUGUUAUCUUUAAUUGUUAUGUAAUUAAGCGGCAUAUCACGACUGCAAGAAAAAAAGGAAAAAAAUUGCCCAUAAAUAUCUUCCCUAAAAUUCUUUUCUUAUCAUAUCAUAUGGUAUUAAUAGAAAAGUAUCUCUUACAUUUUGGAUAAUAAAUAAAAGAUUUUCUCCCAAAUUUUCUCUCAUAUGUGGGAACAUUACACUAUAUAGAAGCCCAAAUCCAGAUGGAUUACUUACGAUUCUUUGGGAUUUAAAAUUUAAGUACAAGAAAAUAGUAGAAGAACAAAGAUAUCCUUUAGUUGAAUUCUUAGAUCUAAUUCUUAAUGUUUCGCAUCUAAUUCUCAAAUCUAAAAAUCUAAACUUAUAUUCUCAAUAAAAAUCCCUUUGUGUCAUUUAAAUUUGACUUAUAAAUAGAGAAACUUGUUACCAUUCCACUCAAAUCCAAAUUUAGCUAAUCUUCAAUAAUACCAUGGGGCAAGUUCCAAAACCAUUGAUUAUUUUCCUCCUAACACUCAUUGUGUGUUCCUAUUCACAAGCUCAUCGAAAUCUUCGAGAAUCACCUGGAGGUCCUGACCCAAUACAUCAUGGAAUUGAGGAUCCAAUGAAUAGUGAAGCUUAUGGAAUCUAUCGAGAAUCUUCCGAAGAUGCAAACUCAAUACAUCAGAAAAUAAAGGAUCAUAUGGGAGCGAAUGCCUUUAAAAUAUAUCGAGAAACACCUACAGGUCCAAAUCCAAUACAUGACUAGAAUGACGAAUCAGCUUAGGAUCUAAGGAAAAGACACCAAGAAGAACCGAUCAUUUACAUUAAUCCUUGCAUAUUUGUCUAUUCUUAGAUCAAAUAAAUAAAUAAAUAAACUGUUUAUGUGAUUCUCUAAAAAUCUUAUUUAGAGUAGUCAUUGAAGUGGUAUGCAUGGAAAAUAUGCGUUCUUGAUAAU